GGUUGAACUGGAGGCAGCUGUGUAAAAGCUGUUUACUCCUCUCCCAGCGCCAUAUUGUGGGAGAGCAGAUGCAUAGAAUAAGUCUUAAUUCCAGUAACUUAGUCUAGUCCGAAUUGCUCCCCACAUCUAGUCCCAGUUGGGGCGCUGGAUUCUGUCCCGGUUGCUCCUCUUCCAGUCCAGCUCUCUGCUGUGGCCCGGGAGUGCAGUGGAGGAUGGCCCAAGUCCUUGUGCCCUGCACCCGCAUGGGAGACCAGGAGGAAGCACCUGGCUCCUGGCUUCAGAUGGGCACAGUGCCGGCCGUAGCUGCCAUUUGGGGAGUGAACCAAUGGAAGGAAGACCUUUCUUUCUGUCUCUCUCUCUCACUGUCUAACUCUGCCUGUCAAAAAAAAAAAAAAAAGUGACAGUCACACAUGAAUUUUAUUGAAAAUGAGAAGCAAAUGAGACAAAUGAGAGGCAAGGUAACCUAUUGGGACCAGCCACCAAUCAGGACCAACACUCCUUACCAGAGUACAACCCCCAACAGCGGGUUACACAGCUUUUUAUAGUGUUCUGUCCACUAGGGCUCACAAUUUCGAACUGGACCCCUGGUAUGCAGUGAACAAUAAAGAGGAAAACCAGAAUAUGGUUGUAAGAUAACAGUUAACAAUAAUAAACCCAGUAACAUAUCCAAGUUAUGGUUGUAAGAUAACAGUGAAGGACACAUUUUGGUCAACCUCGUUCCUGGGAAUUUGGGCCCAAGUAGUUUCACAAGAUACACCCUUAGCGGUUAGCAAGCAAAGCUAAUAUGUGCAGAAGCAAGAGAUCUGCAAUUAGCUUUUAGCCACACUCACUCCAUUUUGAUUCUUAUUUUACAGUGGUAGUAGCCGAACCUGUGCUGAGACUUACUAGACUUGCACAGCUUGCGUUAACACCAUUGCCUGUGAGAGAGCUGUGCCCUAACAUCUUAUUAUCCAAGGAAAAGAGGAGUAGGUCCUUGUAGAAUAAAGAAACCUACAAGCAAGAACUAAUGCAGGCCAAUAUAAGACCUUACUGUGAGUGGCCAGUAUGCUGCUUACAUCAAGUAUAAAUUACGAGGGUGAAGAAAAGCUCCAGUGAGAGGCUGCCCACAUGAGAGUAGUGAGUUCAGCAUUCUGGCCAGUGUGGUAACAGCAGUACCGCAAGGGUGCAAGGAACAACAGAUUUGGAGCAUCACUUGAUCACAUGCAAGGACGGGAGGAACAGCAGAUACAAGGUUUCCCUCCAUCAAGGUUAAGUACAUCUUGAAGUCUCCAUGUUCCUUGGUAAGUAGUGGCUUGUUAGGGAAGCUAUACGACCUACCCCACUGAGCCAGAGACAGAAAGCUGGGAAUUCUAACAGAAAUCUAAAUGGUUCCAAGCAAUUUGGGUCAGUAUUUUACACCCAGGGCCCUAGUGAGCUUUGUUAACAACUCUGGCCUACCUAUUAUAAUCAAAUUAUAGAAUAUUUAAAACUAUAGCAGUCUAUUAAAACUUUAUGCAAACAGGGCAUUGGGGAUAAGAGGUGUCAAUUUUGAGGGUGAUUAAAGAAAGUAUAAGUGUUUAAUUUUCUAAAAUUAAUUGGUUAUUACUUGCUUCUUCUAUUCACUUCCCUUCUACUUCCUAAUCAAAUGGUGAAUAGUAAGCUCUUGAGGCUUCUCAACCUCUUGGAAAUUUUAAGUCUCAGGAAGUACAGGGAUAAUGACACUAUCAUCUAAGAAACCUUCCAAUUCCCUAAGUUGUAGAAUAUGUGGAUGAUUCAUUGCAUAUUGUCUUCAACUGUACAAUGUGGUAUAGGAGGAAGAGAAUGGAAUCAAAAUAUCUUUCUGUAUGGUCUUUAUGAUCUUAAUUAAUAUGGAUAAACAUUACUUCCUGGCUCCCUCUGAAUAGCCUAGGAUACUGAUGAGAAUCUCCGUUAAGAGAUCUAGGUCAUGGAUGCUGCAGGCCCUUAUUAUUUAAGAAUUAAUUUAUUCAUUAGACACUGAGAUAUGUUUUAUUUUUGGAUCUUCCUUACUCAGUUAUGACAUCUAGUUUGGCUAGGGUCAGGAAUGGCCAAGAAGUGGGGACAGAAGGUCAAAUCAUGAGCCAGGGAUAUGAUGGGCAAUCUCAUCUGGUCCAGAAUGUGUGGCAGGUUUUUACUAGAAUAUCACAGAGAAUAAAUCCGGAACUCCGCUUCUCAACCACAUUUUUUAUCCUGCAUGAAUAUUAAUUCAAAUAUGGUCCUGGAUCACAUUUCUCUCCUUAUGAGAAAGCCCUACAUUGGGGCUUUGCAAAACUGAUUUAAAACAGAAAUAGUGACCCACAUAGUGCUACAGAGGAGGCAUGUUUUAGGAAUCUAAAUGCUACAUUUUAAACCACUUCUAUAUAGCUAAUGUGUUAGCAAUACUGCUUCACCUCCCCUAGACUCAGUUCCUCAGUGACACAAGAAUAGAAGACACUUCUAACACAGAGUUGACAGGAGGAUUAAAUGAGAUAGUCCAUGUAAAGAAUUUAGUAUAGUGCCUGGCACAGAAUGAGCUUACAAUAAAAAGCUGGUUGUUAUGAGGAUGACAGACCUACAGGUUGCCCAGGAAAGCAUGAUUUUUUUUUGACAGGUAGAGUCAUAGACAGUGAGAGAGAGAGAGAGAGACAGAAAGAAAGGUCUUCCUCUGUUGGUUCACUCCCCAAAUGGCCACCACGGCUGGCGUGGUGCUGAUCUGAAGCCAGGAGCCAAGUGCUUCCUCCUGGUCUCCCAUGCGGGUGCAGGGGCCCAAGCACUUGGGCCAUCCUCCACUGCCCUCCUGAGCCACAGCAGAGAGCUGGACUGGAAGAGGAGCAACCGGGACUGGAACCCGGUGCCCAUAUGGGAUGCCGGUGCCACAGGUGGAGGAUUAACCAAGUGAGCCAUGGUGCUGGCCCAAGCCGUGAUUUCUUAUUAAGAUUGUGUUGUUGAAAUGAUUUGGAUGACAAAUGACAUGUCCACUUUAGUUUUUACGGUAAGUGAACAGAAUGGUGUAGCAAUUUUUGAUGGGAGGAAGUGAAAAUGGAGAGAAUUCCAGGAGCCUUAGGACUGGAUGAAGAUUAGUGCUCAUGAAAAGCAAGGUGAAAUGGGUUAUUCACCUUGGGUUGUUCAGAACAUAGAUAGUUUAGAGAAAAUGCAAAGUUGCUGAAUGUUUUCUUUUGCAAGCCUCAACUUAACUUUUCCAAUCUCCAUGCCCCUUUUGGACUCUGUUCUGCACAAACACACUCCUCUUCCAUGC